UCUCAUGGGAAAUACGUACCUCUGUACACUUUUUUGCAGGACCACAAAUAUGUACUAACAGGUACGUAUUGCUACAGUUUUGAAAAAUAAACGUCCACUGGGGUCGCUAAAGAGAAGAACUCCAUGUGACAUAAUUAGGAGUUGCAUUACAUUACAUCGCGAGAUUUAACAACGCAUGUUGAUGGAAAAGAGAGAAGACAAACUUCACCGAAAGAUUUAGGAGGAAAAGGCCAAAUUCGUUGUGACUAUAGAUGAGUAUAACAGGGCAGCACCUGAGAAACUGCUGUCAGCUGAUACAAUUCUGGCAUCUGGGAGUUACGCAUGGCCAUGGGUAUGGAAUGAGCAUGGACGGUCGUCACCAAUCCUGGUCAUGGGGGGUCUCUGCAGAUUUUAAAUGAAACCUCUGCUAAUUAGCCAUGACUGCUGCUUCCUACUGGUACAGACCAGGAGUGUGGGCUCUCUGACAGUGGAGUUCUAAGACUUCACUUCCUGCUAAAGAAAAGACAAUACUACAUCAUCUCCUCUGUUUGCCAGUUGUACUGUACUGUGCUUGACAACUUUUCUGAGCUGUUUGGGAACAUAAAAGAUGAUGAUUACUUUAGGGAAAUUCACAUGGAUGAGGAGGAUAUCCACUAUUGUGGUGGUGGUGGUGGUGGUGGUGGUGGUGGUGAUGAUGAUGAUGAGGAUGAGUAUGAAAAGUCAUUGUUUCCUCAGUCAGUAUAAAAUGUACACUCAAGUCAGAUUUUAAAGACAAGGUCAAGGUUAAACCAGGAUUAUGCCUUAGCUAAAAUUGGACAUUUACACUACUUUUAAAAAUGUGACUUACAAAUAAACUUACUGAUGUGCCACUUGAGACAAAAUUAUGGCACUGAUAUAUUUAAAGAUAUGUCAGUAAAAGUUGUUUUUUUGUUAAGACAGCUCAAAUAUACAUUUUAGUUUGGGACUAGGCUUAGGCCUUGUGAUCGAUUGAAGUUGCAAUUCACUAGUGUAGUGGAUGAAAACUUGUUUAGAAUGAUAAAGUUGUCUCCCAAUAGUUAAAUAGUUCAUCUUAUUUCCCCACGUCCCAAGUUACCUUAUGUCAUCUAUGUGAUUAUAUCUGUAUUUUAUCUUGUGUAUAUUACUGAAACUGCCAGUUGACCUUUUUUCCUUUAAUAUUAAGCAUCACAUACGGUAGGCUAUAUAGACUCCACCACAUAAAUAUAGACUGUCUUUUUUAGUUUCAGUUAAUUAAACAAGACUGUAUGCUGUGAUGUUUAUCUUAGUAAUGUUUUACAUUGUUUACAUUUACAUUACAAAGGUGUUGUGAAAAUAUGUAAUUUUAUAUUGUUUGUCCAAUCAUUUUUAUAUUAGAUAUUGUAAUACGUUGCUGAUAUUAGUGUUAUUAUUACUGAUGUAACAUUUAUGACUUUUUGGACAGUGUUGUAAAAUGCCUUCAUUGUUAUUCAUAAAGUGACAAAUAAAAUUGACCAAAUUCACGUGAAAACAACUUCCUGUUUUUUAUCAUAAAUUGUACUAUUAUGAUAUGUAUAUUUAAUGUUACAAACUUCAUUGCUCUAGAAUAAAAAUCUGUAAUUAAAGUA